AGAGUUUGAUCAUGGCUCAGAGCGAACGCUGGCGGCAGGCCUAAUACAUGCAAGUCGAGCGCACCUUCGGGUGAGCGGCGGACGGGUGAGUAACGCGUGGGAACGUGCCCUUUGGUACGGAACAACUGAGGGAAACUUCAGCUAAUACCGUAUGUGCCCUUCGGGGGAAAGAUUUAUCGCCAUUGGAGCGGCCCGCGUUGGAUUAGGUAGUUGGUGAGGUAAAGGCUCACCAAGCCUACGAUCCAUAGCUGGUCUGAGAGGAUGAUCAGCCACACUGGGACUGAGACACGGCCCAGACUCCUACGGGAGGCAGCAGUAGGGAAUCUUGCGCAAUGGGCGAAAGCCUGACGCAGCCAUGCCGCGUGAAUGAUGAAGGUCUUAGGAUUGUAAAAUUCUUUCACCGGGGAAGAUAAUGACGGUACCCGGAGAAGAAGCCCCGGCUACUUCGUGCCAGCAGCCGCGGUA
rnacentral:rRNA from 1 species